UGCCAGCAGCCGCGGUAAUACGGAGGGUGCGAGCGUUAAUCGGAAUUACUGGGCGUAAAGCGUACGUAGGCGGCUUAUUAAGCAAGAUGUGAAAGCCCCGGGCUCAACCUGGGAAUUGCAUUUUGAACUGGUAGGCUCGAGUUUUGAAGAGGGUGGUAGAAUUUCCAGUGUAGCGGUGAAAUGCGUAGAUAUUGGAAGGAAUACCAGUGGCGAAGGCGGCCACCUGGUCAAAAACUGACGCUGAGGUACGAAAGCGUGGGGAGCAAACAGGAUUAGAUA
rnacentral:rRNA from 1 species